UACAGAGGUCUCAAGCGUUGUUCGGAUUCAUUGGGCGUAAAGGGUGCGUAGGUGGCGGGGUUAGUCAGGUGUGAAAUCUCGGGGCUCAACCCCGAAACUGCACUUGAUACUGCCUUGCUAGAGUACUGGAGAGGAGAUUGGAAUUUACGGUGUAGCAGUGAAAUUCGUAGAUAUUCGCAAGAACACCAGUGGCGAAGGCGGCUCACUGGCCCGAUACUGACGCUGAGGCACGAAAGCGUGGGGAGCAAACAGG
rnacentral:rRNA from 1 species